UCUUAGGGCCUUCACAUGGGAAAUUUAAAAUCUGAUGUCCACAUGUUACCUCUUUGGGAUUUGUGUUUUUUCAUCGAGUAACUCCAGAAGAAAAACAGAAGUAAUUGUAGAAAAUAUAUUAGAAACAACAGUUCAUAGUGAGGAACUAUGUCAAAAGCCUUGUAGAAGUCCAGGCAGACAACAUCACUUGUCCUUCCUUGGUCCACCUAUGCUGUCUCCAUUGUAAGAGGACACCAGAUUGUUCAGACAUGAUGCACCCUUGGUGAAGCCAUGCUGACCUGUCGUGGAUCACCUCCUCAUCCUGCGUGCACCUUAACAUCUCUUCCAGUAGGAUCUGCUCCAUGAACUUCCCAGGCACAGAGUGGUGGAAUGGGAAUUGUAACUGCUGCAGUAUGCUCCUCUCAUGUCUGAUAUCCAAGAGAUCUGGACAGUCAAAACCUCACAUUGUACUGAUGGAUGCAGAUGUUAUUCUAUUCCAUGUUGCUGUCUCUCCUUCUCUCAUGCUCUGAGGGCCUUCCAGACUCAUUUUGCCACUGCCACUAUUCUUCAGUGCCCUUCUUAAACUGCAAGGCUGAGCAAGGCACGCAGCAGCCUGAAAACUGUGAUGGUACAAACUGUUAUGGGCUUGCUGCCUAGGGAAAUCCAUCUCUAAUGGUUGAAUUCUUUUAAAUAAAGGCAAUCAGUUUUUAAAAGGUGAAUUUGAGAACAAAUUUAGCACAGCUGCAGUGCUAUAAAUUUCUUUUUGUGUGGCAUCCUGAUAUAGUGUUAGAAUACCACUGAAAGCACAUUACAUUAUUUGUUAACACAAUAACCUGUGGAUUGAUAGACAGAAUGCAAUAGCUUUACUGUAGAGAAAAAUAAAUAGCCUUUUCAGCAGGAACAAGCAGCAGAGCAUUUGAGAAUGACUGUUUCUGUUGCUUAGAUUUCCUUUGAUCUACUUGUAGCAUCUCAGCGACCCCUUAAAAAUGUCUUGUUGCCUUGAGAGUAAUGCAAAACAUUAUUGUCAUGGAUGGUGUGCUUUAUCAGUUUUAAGGCUGUGAAUACAAAAAGAAAAACAAAAUCCAAGAUACUAUUCAGAAAUGGAAAAGCUCUGGAGAAUCAUGUUCUUCAACGUAAGAAAUUUGUUCUGGGUUUUAAAAUGAAAAAAAAGUUAAUUUGUACAAAUCUUAAGGCAGAUUUUCUUGUGAUGUAUCACAGUUUGAUUAAUUGGUAAUCCAGACUCUCAUUUGUUUCACAUUGUAUGUGUUGUUUUUUUGUUUGUUUGUUUUGUUUUGUUUUUAUUUUAUUUAUAGUAAUAGUUAAUAAAGCAAUUGUCAGUCU
rnacentral:lncRNA from 7 species